GAUGAACGCUGGCGGCGUGCCUAAUACAUGCAAGUCGAGCGAACGGACGAGAAGCUUGCUUCUCUGAUGUUAGCGGCGGACGGGUGAGUAACACGUGGAUAACCUACCUAUAAGACUGGGAUAACUUCGGGAAACCGGAGCUAAUACCGGAUAAUAUUUUGAACCGCAUGGUUCAAAAGUAAAAGACGGUCUUGCUGUCACUUAUAGAUGGAUCCGCGCUGCAUUAGCUAGUUGGUAAGGUAACGGCUUACCAAGGCAACGAUGCAUAGCCGACCUGAGAGGGUGAUCGGCCAAACUGGAACGGAGACACGGACAAGACUCCUACGGGAGGCAGCAGUAGGGAAUCUUCCGCAAUGGGCGAAAGCAUGACGGAGCAACGCCGCGUGAGUGAUGAAGGUCUUCGGAGCGUAAAACUCUGUUAUUAGGGAAGAACAUAUGUGUAAGUAAAUGUGCACAUCGUGACGGUACCUAAUCAGAAAGCCACGGCUAACUACGUG
rnacentral:rRNA from 1 species